rnacentral:rRNA from 1 species
CGCGUAGGCGGCCCGGCAGGCCGGGGGUCGAAGCGGGGGGCUCAACCCCCCGAAGCCCCCGGAACCUCCGCGGUUUGGGUCCGGUAGGGGAGGGUGGAACACCCGGUGUAGCGGUGGAAUGCGCAGAUAUCGGGUGGAACACCGGUGGCGAAGGCGGCCCUCUGGGCCGAGACCGACGCUGAGGCGCGAAAGCUGGGGGAGCGAACA